rnacentral:rRNA from 1 species
GACGUAGGGCGCGAGCGUUGUCCGGAUUUAUUGGGCGUAAAGAGCUCGUAGGCGGCUUGUCGCGUCGACUGUGAAAUCCCGCGGCUCAACUGCGGGUCUGCAGUCGAUACGGGCUGGCUAGAGGUAGGUAGGGGAGAACGGAAUUCCUGGUGUAGCGGUGAAAUGCGCAGAUAUCAGGAGGAACACCAGUAGCGAAGGCGGCACUCUGGGCCGGUACUGACGCUGAGGAGCGAAAGCGUGGGGAGCGAACAGG